UACGAAGGGGGCUAGCGUUGCUCGGAAUCACUGGGCGUAAAGCGCACGUAGGCGGAUUCUUAAGUCAGGGGUGAAAUCCUGGAGCUCAACUCCAGAACUGCCUUUGAUACUGAGGAUCUUGAGUUCGGGAGAGGUGAGUGGAACUGCGAGUGUAGAGGUGAAAUUCGUAGAUAUUCGCAAGAACACCAGUGGCGAAGGCGGCUCACUGGCCCGAUACUGACGCUGAGGUGCGAAAGCGUGGGGAGCA
rnacentral:rRNA from 1 species